rnacentral:rRNA from 1 species
UGCAAACUGCGAAUACCGGAGAAUGUUAUCACGGGAGACACACGGCGGGUGCUAACGUCCGUCGUGAAGAGGGAAACAACCCAGACCGCCAGCUAAGGUCCCAAAGUCAUGGUUAAGUGGGAAACGAUGUGGGAAGGCCCAGACAGCCAGGAUGUUGGCUUAGAAGCAGCCAUCAUUUAAAGAAAGCGUAAUAGCUCACUGGUCGAGUCGGCCUGCGCGGAAGAUGUAACGGGGCUAAACCAUGCACCGAAGCUGCGGCAGCGACACUAUGUGUUGUUGGGUAGGGGAGCGUUCUGUAAGCCUGUGAAGGUGGCCUGUGAGGGUUGCUGGAGGUAUCAGAAGUGCGAAUGCUGACAUAAGUAACGAUAAAGCGGGUGAAAAGCCCGCUCGCCGGAAGACCAAGGGUUCCUGUCCAACGUUAAUCGGGGCAGGGUGAGUCGACCCCUAAGGCGAGGCCGAAAGGCGUAGUCGAUGGGAAACAGGUUAAUAUUCCUGUACUUGGUGUUACUGCGAAGGGGGGACGGAGAAGGCUAUGUUGGCCGGGCGACGGUUGUCCCGGUUUAAGCGUGUAGGCUGGUUUUCCAGGCAAAUCCGGAAAACCAAGGCUGAGGCGUGAUGACGAGGCACUACGGUGCUGAAGCGACAAAUGCCCUGCUUCCAGGAAAAGCCUCUAAGCAUCAGGUAACAUCAAAUCGUACCCCAAACCGACACAGGUGGUCAGGUAGAGAAUACCAAGGCGCUUGAGAGAACUCGGGUGAAGGAACUAGGCAAAAUGGUGCCGUAACUUCGGGAGAAGGCACGCUGAUAUGUAGGUGAAGCGACUUGCUCGUGGAGCUGAAAUCAGUCGAAGAUACCAGCUGGCUGCAACUGUUUAUUAAAAACACAGCACUGUGCAAACACGAAAGUGGACGUAUACGGUGUGACGCCUGCCCGGUGCCGGAAGGUUAAUUGAUGGGGUUAGCGGUAACGCGAAGCUCUUGAUCGAAGCCCCGGUAAACGGCGGCCGUAACUAUAACGGUCCUAAGGUAGCGAAAUUCCUUGUCGGGUAAGUUCCGACCUGCACGAAUGGCGUAAUGAUGGCCAGGCUGUCUCCACCCGAGACUCAGUGAAAUUGAACUCGCUGUGAAGAUGCAGUGUACCCGCGGCAAGACGGAAAGACCCCGUGAACCUUUACUAUAGCUUGACACUGAACAUUGAGCCUUGAUGUGUAGGAUAGGUGGGAGGCUUUGAAGUGUGGACGCCAGUCUGCAUGGAGCCGACCUUGAAAUACCACCCUUUAAUGUUUGAUGUUCUAACGUUGGCCCGUAAUCCGGGUUGCGGACAGUGUCUGGUGGGUAGUUUGACUGGGGCGGUCUCCUCCUAAAGAGUAACGGAGGAGCACGAAGGUUGGCUAAUCCUGGUCGGACAUCAGGAGGUUAGUGCAAUGGCAUAAGCCAGCUUGACUGCGAGCGUGACGGCGCGAGCAGGUGCGAAAGCAGGUCAUAGUGAUCCGGUGGUUCUGAAUGGAAGGGCCAUCGCUCAACGGAUAAAAGGUACUCCGGGGAUAACAGGCUGAUACCGCCCAAGAGUUCAUAUCGACGGCGGUGUUUGGCACCUCGAUGUCGGCUCAUCACAUCCUGGGGCUGAAGUAGGUCCCAAGGGUAUGGCUGUUCGCCAUUUAAAGUGGUACGCGAGCUGGGUUUAGAACGUCGUGAGACAGUUCGGUCCCUAUCUGCCGUGGGCGCUGGAGAACUGAGGGGGGCUGCUCCUAGUACGAGAGGACCGGAGUGGACGCAUCACUGGUGUUCGGGUUGUCAUGCCAAUGGCACUGCCCGGUAGCUAAAUGCGGAAGAGAUAAGUGCUGAAAGCAUCUAAGCACGAAACUUGCCCCGAGAUGAGUUCUCCCUGAGACUUAGAGUCUCCUGAAGGAACGUUGAAGACGACGACGUUGAUAGGCCGGGUGUGUAAGCGCAGCGAUGCGUUGAGCUAACCGGUACUAAUGAACCGUGAGGCUUAACCUU